rnacentral:rRNA from 1 species
UACGGAGGGAGCUAGCGUUGUUCGGAAUUACUGGGCGUAAAGCGCGCGUAGGCGGCUUUGUAAGUUAGAGGUGAAAGCCCGGGGCUCAACCCCGGAAUUGCCUUUAAGACUGCAUCGCUUGAAUCCGGGAGAGGUGAGUGGAAUUCCGAGUGUAGAGGUGAAAUUCGUAGAUAUUGGGAAGAACACCGGUGGCGAAGGCGGCCCUCUGGCUCGACCCUGACGCUGAGGCGCGAAAGCGUGGGGAGCGAACGGG